rnacentral:rRNA from 1 species
GACGAACGCUGGCGGCGUGCCUAAUACAUGCAAGUCGAGCGGACUUAAAAAGCUUGCUUUUUAAGUUAGCGGCGGACGGGUGAGUAACACGUGGGCAACCUGCCUGUAAGACUGGGAUAACUUCGGGAAACCGGAGCUAAUACCGGAUAAUCCUUUCCUACUCAUGUAGGAAAGCUGAAAGACGGUUUACGCUGUCACUUACAGAUGGGCCCGCGGCGCAUUAGCUAGUUGGUGAGGUAACGGCUCACCAAGGCGACGAUGCGUAGCCGACCUGAGAGGGUGAUCGGCCACACUGGGACUGAGACACGGCGCAGACUCCUACGGGAGGCAGCAGUAGGGAAUCUUCCGCAAUGGACGAAAGUCUGACGGAGCAACGCCGCGUGAGUGAUGAAGGUUUUCGGAUCGUAAAACUCUGUUGUUAGGGAAGAACAAGUACGAGAGUAACUGCUCGUACCUUGACGGUACCUAACCAGAAAGCCACGGCUAACUACGUGCCAGCCGCCGCAGUAA